rnacentral:rRNA from 1 species
AGCAGUCGCCGCGGUAAUACGUAGGUGGCAAGCAUUGUCCGGAAUUAUUGGGCGUAAAGGGCCCGCAGGCGGUUUCUUAAGUCUGAUGUGAAAGCCCCGGCUCAACCGGGGAGGGUCAUUGGAAACUGGGAAACUUGAGUGCAGAAGAGGAGAGUGGAAUUCCACGUGUAGCGGUGAAAUGCGUAGAGAUGUGGAGGAACACCAGUGGCGAAGGCGACUCUCUGGUCUGUAACUGACGCUGAGGAGCGAAAGCGUGGGGAGCGAACAGGAUUAGAUACCCCUGUAGUCCCUGUCUCUUAUACA